CUUUCCUUUAAAUUCUGAAUGAUGUCUUGUAGACCAUCAUAUGACGCUAAUGGGAGUCUAUAUUGUUUGAUAAAUACAGGUGGUAAAUUAGGAUCAGUUUAUAUUCUGGCUACGUGGAGGUUAGUUAACCCACAGUCAUAGGAAUCUUUGGCAAAAAUAUCUUGGAAUUCCAAAAGGAUUUCCUUUAGCUGUUGCCGCUCAGCAUCGUUGGAGCAACCGUCAGCUAAAGAUAUUUGCUCUUCUAGCCUUUCCUGAAAUCCUGGAAAGAUUUCAGGCUGGCCUAUCUCAUAAGCUUCUUCAAGCCUAGAAGUUAGGUCAGUUUGGUUUUGACUUACCUUUUCUCUUUGGUCGAGAUACUCUUGUGAUUCCUGCUCAUUGAGCGGAUGAUCGA